GGAAAAGAUGUAAUAAAUACUGUCUGAGAGUGACUGAUAUAUUUGACAUCAGGACAUCUCUGACUACAUACAUGCUGAAAAUCAAACAUUUUUUACUGGAUUAAUUUAGAUAUUUUUUAAAGUAAAAGUCCAUAGAAGUGUUAUGAUUCAACUUCUUCCCAUGGUCUGAUGUUAAAAAAAUGAACAAAUAUCGAAUCGGGAGAUAGGUGUAU